GAGGGUAUAGCUCAGUGGUAGAGUGUGUGCCUAGCAUGCAUGAGGUCGUGGGUUCGAUCCCCGUACCUACA
rnacentral:tRNA from 1 species